GACGUGCUCCGGGGUCGGUGAAAGUCCGAGCCGGCGGUGAUAGUCCGCGACCCGCUUCGGCGGUGGAGCCGGUGGAACUCCGGCACCGACAGUAAAGCCUGGAUGAGAGGCGCACGUC
rnacentral:ncRNA from 2 species